rnacentral:rRNA from 1 species
UACGUAAAGUGCAAGCGUUGUCCGAAAUUAUUGGGCGUAAAGAGCUCGUAGGCGGUUUGUCGCGUCUGCUGUGAAAACUCAGGGCUUAACCCUGAGCCUGCAGUGGGUACGGGCAGACUAGAGUGUGGUAGGGGAGAUCGGAAUUCCUGGUGUAGCGGUGAAAUGCGCAGAUAUCAGGAGGAACACCGGUGGCGAAGGCGGAUCUCUGGGCCGAUACUGACGCUGAGAAGCGAAAGCAUGGGGAGCGAACAGG